rnacentral:rRNA from 1 species
GAUGAACACUGGCGGCGUGCCUAAUACAUGCAAGUCGAACGGACAGAUAAGGCGCUUGUUCCUUUGUCGUUAGGCGAGCGCGGGUGAGUCACGCGUGUGUACCCUACCUAUAUUUGGGAUAACUUCAGGAAACUGGGGCUAAAACCGGGUAGGAGCUUCUGAUGCAUGGUGUGGGAUGGAAAGAUUCGGUGUUUGGGGAUGUACUCGCGGCUUAUCAGCUAGUUGGUGAGGUAGUGACUUACUAAGGUUAUGAUGGGUAGCCGACCUGAGAGGGUGAUCGGCCACACUGGAACUGAGACACGGUCCAGACUCCUACGGGAGGCAGCAGUAGCGAAUCUGCCGCAAUGGGCGAAAGCCUGACGGAGCAGCGCCGCGUGAGUGAUGAAGGUCUUCGGAUCGUAAAACUCUGUUAUUAGGGAAGAACAAAUGUGUAAGUAACUGUGCACGUCUUGACGGUACCUAAUCAGAAAGCCACGGCUAACUACGUG